UCAUGAAAGGCUUUAAACCUGAAGCUGUACCCAUUUAUGGAGCUUUAGUUCGUGAAUUUGCAGUGUUUGAUAGAUGGUUCUCAUCAAUUCCUGGCCCAACUCAGCCCAAUAGGCUUUUUGUUUAUUCAGCAACUUCUCAUGGUUCAACUAGCCACGUGAAGAAGCAAUUAGCAAUGGGGUAUCCUCAAAAAACUAUUUUUGAUUCACUUCAUGAGAAUGGUAUCAACUUUGGAAUUUACUUCCAGAACAUACCCACUACUCUGUUUUAUAGAAACCUGAGGAAAUUGAAGUACAUUUUCAAGUUUCAUCAGUAUGAUUUGAAGUUCAAAAAGGAUGCUAGAAAUGGUAAACUUCCUAGCUUAACUGUGAUUGAGCCAAGGUACUUUGAUCUUGUGGGAAUGCCUGCAAAUGAUGAUCAUCCAUCUCAUGAUGUUGCAAAUGGGCAAAAGCUGGUGAAAGAGGUUUACGAGACUCUUAGGGCUAGCCCCCAGUGGAAUGAAACCCUUUUGAUAAUCACUUACGAUGAACAUGGUGGAUUUUAUGACCAUGUCAAAACUCCUUUCGUUAAUGUCCCUAAUCCUGAUGGAAACACAGGCCCUGCUCCCUAUUUCUUCAAGUUCGAUCGGCUUGGAGUUCGCGUGCCUACAAUUAUGGUCUCGCCUUGGAUUAAGAAAGGAACUGGUAAGCCAAGUUCUUCUCUUCUGAAUCAAUAGCCUUUUACAACAUAA
rnacentral:lncRNA from 1 species